rnacentral:sRNA from 1 species
AAACAAAUCUUUUUAAAAACUCAUGUUACAUAGCAUGAGAGAAGACACCCCCCUCCCUGUGAAUAUCAGAGUAGAAGGCUCCAUUUUCAUGAAAUGCCUAAAAUAGGCAAAUCUAUGAAGACUGUUGCUUCCUGGUUCCCUGCAACAUAGAGGAGGGACUCAAGAGUGGCAGCUCAUAUACACAGGGUUUCUGCUUUGGAGAAGGUUCUAAAGUGGGCCUGAGACGAUUCUCCUGUGCAUAUACUAAAAGACCCUCCAUUGGCCAUGUUCAACAGCAAUACCACAGGACGUAGAUUAGGAACCAGCUAUGCUGUCACCACAUAAUCUCCUCAGACACCAGACAGUGACUAGUACAGGCAGAGGUCCCAAGCAAGCCAAGAUUUGGGUCCAAAAGAGGUACCCCACCAACUGUGUCCCACACCUGCUGUGCUUCUUAGAUGACCUGCGUGUCUAGAUACAAAGUGUCAGUGUCCACAUGGCUGCAGAGAGUGACUAGGGUAGUAAGCAGGGUCCCAGGCCAUUGCCUGGUGUUCCAUCGCCUCAGAGCAGGAAGACGAACAAUUUUAGGCUCUGUUCAAAUGCUGUCACCACCCUAAAAGUGAAGGUGACUCUGAGAAAGGCUCACAGGAACCGGCAGGCUCCCUUUCCAGCAGUUGAGCUCAGGUCUCUGACCAUAGUCCCCCAAAUGGCAGGAAGUCUCCUUUGCAUCCCAGCACCAAAGCCACACCCCUAACCCCUGCCUACCCUCAUUGGCCCAUAAAAGCAGAACAAACACAAGGGAGGACCCUAUGUGGUGCCCCAGCAUUCCCAGCAGAGGGCACAGUGUAUGUAAAGGCCCUGAGACAUACCUGCAGUGCUCCAGGGACAGUCUAAGACCAGGGUCACCAGGCAGAGAGGUUAAAAGCAGAACUGGAGGAAAGGUGAGGAAGUUGCAGGUGACAGGGAUAGUAGGUGACAUGAAAGAUUUGGCCUAUACUCUGGGUGAAGCUGGGAGGGUUCUGUACAGAGAAUGGUGAGAAGAUCCUAUGGUUUUUUGCAGACAACAAGGGCAGGAGCAAGGAGUAGGGUAAAUGUCCACGUUCUCAGUCUGUCAUCCACUAGGAGAGAACAGGCAGAGAGUAGGGCUCUGCCCUGUGCCUCCCCAUCUCUCUCCUUCUAAAAUAGGCUUAGCAGACUUCCUUCAUCCCUUGCACACAACACUCUCCCUGUGUAGGACCCUUUGUACAUGCUAUAUCCUCUGGCAUAUAUGUCUCUCACUGCUGGGGGAAGAAGUCAGUCUUCUGGGGGCUCUCCUCCUUUUACCCAUGGGUGUCAGGUCUCUAGGACAUCUCUGGAAACUUACCUCUAAGGCUUGGAUCUGAAUGGAGCCACGGAUAGAGGGGGCUACAGGUAUGUACACUCUUAGGUCAAACCUGGGGAAUCAGCAUAAUAGCACCAAGUGCUGGUAAUUCCUUCAGGGUCCAGGGCUGUAGGCAAGCCAGGUUCUCUCUCAGCAGCAUUCCUACAGAUCUGCAGUUGUUCAUUGAUUUAUUCUACAAAUGUUUAUUGAACCCUGGCCCUGGGGAUUGAGCAAGUAGAGGAACAGACAGGAAACUAAUGAACAGUUAGUUGCAUGCAAAAGAUGUCUCGAGAGGAAGUUCAGUCAGCUGUGAAAGCUCAGAGGGGUGGUCAGGGAGAGCCUCAUGGGAAGGCAGCCUUAGCAGAGGCCUGAACAAGGCCAGCCAACAUGAGAAGACCUGAGCAAGAGUGGUCCAGGCAGCAGGGACAGCAAGUACAAAGGUCCUGAGGAUGGAGAAGGGCUACUGGGCUGGCACAAGGGGCCUACGCUGAGCAAAAGGAAGUGAGGAGGGAGCCAGGCUAGGAUGAGAGCUGAGAAACCAUGGGGUUGGGACCAUGGCCAUGGUGUGAGGCUGUGAAGAAGUUUGGUAUUAUCCUAACUGCAGGAGCAAAUUCUGUGUGUGUGUGUGGGGGGGUCUCAAGUCAGACAGUGGCAGGUUGAUUUAGUGUUUAAAAGCUCCUUCUGGUGCUGGUAGGGCAGAUCAGACAACUUAGGGAAGCCCAGAGGCAGAGGGGAGGGAACAAUGGUAUCCCACUAAAUGACAGCCAGGCAGGGGUGGGUGGGCAGGUCUAUUAGUAAGGAACAUCAGGCAAAGGAGGGGCAAGGAAGAAAAAGGAAUCAGGCCAAGGGAUCUGCGAGGGACACUGACACAGCCCAGCCACCCUUUGAGACAAACCCUGUAAAGUCCAGGAACCAAUACACAGAAGCCAGAAGUGGCCUCCUUUCCUGGGAUGGAGAUUAUUACAGAAAACCAACUGAACAAAAUGCAGAGAACAAGCGUUUGUAUGUGCUCCCAGCCCCAUUGAUUCAUCCACAACAAAACUCCUGCACCUAAGUCUCGGGAAAUCUCUCGGGCACGGGGAACGGAAAGAGCAAGAGAGCCAGAGGAACAGGGUGUCUGCUCAAAGAGUGCAACUCCUAGACAUGUCAGAGGAGCUACACUAUGAAGUCCCAACGACCUGGCUGCCUAAACAAAACCUAAACAAGUAUACCUACAGACAUAAUAACAUGGAAGGGGGAACUUUAUGGGCAGUCAACCCUAGACAAACAACUGCUGACAACUGAAGAAUGCUGAGAUGAGAGAAAAUAGUCUCUGGCAAGAGUUCUCAAGUCGGUAAUCCAGUACCAAGUGGGCAGCCUUGGAAUCAAAUACAUACAUAAAGUAACGUUAUACAGACUGAUUGAACAGAUUGUAUUUCUAUAUGUAGGUGUGUGUGUCGUUUUUUUUUUUCCAAAAAGGAAGCCAAAGAUCAUGAAUUUGAGAGACAGCAGAUGUGUGGGUACAUGGAAGGGGCUGGAAGGAGGAAAAGGAAAGGCAAAAAUGAUGUAUUCAUAUUUUAAUUAAAAAAUUAAGGAUUAUGCUCAGUUUUAUUGAAUGUCUAGCUUUUCAGUUGCAUUGAUUUACACUCUGACAUUAAUAGUUUUCUCCUAUUUCUUUAAGUUUAAUGUGUUCUUUAAAAGAACAAUUUCUUAAGAAGAAAAUUAAGCUUAUUGAUUUGACAUCAUUUUUCUUCUAUAACAUUGCCAUUUAGAGCUCUAAAAUGUCUCAUUGUGCAGUGCUUCAUUGGAAGCCUGUCAAUUUUACACAUAACCAUAUAUAUAACAAUAUAACUAUAUAUAGUUAUUAUUAUUAUAGUGUGGGGAAUGCCCAAGGCCUUUGUACAGGCUAAGUAAGCCUCUAACACUGAGCUCAGAAUCCUGCCACUUUUGAUAUACCCUGUAUUAUCAUUUAGCUCAAAGUUCUUUUCUUUUAGUUUCUGCUUUGAUCUAUGGUUAAUUUAAAAUAUGUUGUCAAAAAUCCCAACUUCCAAAUAUUAUAUGUGUUAUUGAUUUUUAAUUUUCUUACACUGUGGCUGGAGCCACAAUGUAAUAGUAGUCAUUAGUUCUUUUAAAUGUAGUGAGUUUUAUUUCAUUACACAGUGUCUGGGAACCCUUGCUGUUUUCCUGUGAUCAAAUACCUGACAAGGCAAUUCAAGGAAGGGUUAAUUUUGGCUGACAGUUUGAGGGGACAGACCAUCAUGCAUGGUGGCAGGAGCACGAGGCAGUCUGCAGUCAGGAAGCAGAGAGGGAUGACCACUGGGAUUCAGCUCGAUUUCUCCUUUUUAUCCAGUCCAGGAAAUGAGCUCACAGGGUGAUGCCACCCACAUUUAUGUUAAAUCUUCCCAUCUCAACUAAUCCAAUCUAGAUAAUCCUUCACAGAUACAGUCAGAGGUUUGUCUACCUGGUGAUUCUAGAUCCUGUCAAGUUGGCUGGACUAGCCAUCACCGUGGUACAUGUGUUCUCGGUUUACCUGAGAAGAAUGUGUCCACUAUGAUUAGGUGCUCUGUCAAGCAGUUUGGUGGUACUGUUUGAGCCUUUCCAUCCCUACUGAUUUCUAUUUUCUAUAUUGCUCUAGCAAAUGCUGAGAAGCAGAAACCAAAGUCUCAAAUCAAACUGUAGCUUUGCUUUCCCACCAACCUCCAUCCUGUAUUUUUAACACUUGUUAAAAUUUCAGAACUGCCACUUUUCUUUGCAUGAAGUGAUUCCUUAAUGACCAUGAGCUGCUCUUCACCUCUAGCCAUAUCCUAUAUAUCUGGGUACCUCUGAAGUCUACUUUAUCUGGUAUUAAUAUGACUAUUCCACUUCCUCUUGAUCAGUGGUAACAGAACACAUUUUCCAGCCUUCUGUUUUUAACCUGUUUGUAUUGUUUCAUACUUAAACACUAGCUCUUAUUAACAGUAUAUAGUGCUUGUUUUAUUUUUUUCUUAAAAACGAAACCAAACCAAUUCUACUCUGGUCUAGCCUGAUGGCAAAAGCCUAUAAUUGCAGCAUGGGGAGGCAGAGGCCAGGGGAUUGCUGAAAACCAAGGUUAUCCUAGUCUGUAAGCAUUCUGGGAUUAGCAAGGCCAUAUAAGCUAGAACCCUGUCUUUUAAAAAAUUCUAAAAUUCAUUACUUUUAAAUUAGAGUACUUAGAUAAUUUAUAUUUAAUGGGAUUACUGGAAUGAAUUAAGGUUUAAAUCUUCCUCCCCACCUUUCUGUUUCAUUAGGUUGUUUUUGGUUUUAAUUUUCUCUUUUAAUGUAUUAAUUCUUAUGUGUGUGUGCAUAUGCAUGUUCAUGCUGUAGCAUGAACAAGGAGAUCAUAAGACAACAUCUGGUCAUUAGUUCUCCCUCCCAUAGGAGGUUCUAGGGACUGAGCUCAGCUCACCAGGCUUCUGUGGCAAGCACUUUUGCCUGCUGAGUCAUCUCACAAACCAUCUGUAUUAUUUAAGAUUACCUGAGUUUUAAAAUAAUAUCAUUGUAUUUUUAAUCUCUAGAUGUUGAUUUCUGUACAGAAAGAAGCACUUUCCCCAUUUCAACAACUUUAGCAGCAGGACACAUUUGGGGUCAGUCCUGAACGUCUAACUGCUCUUUAUAUGUAUGGGCCGUGUUAUCUUGACACUUUUUGAGCCUGAAAGCUCCAGGACUACAGACAUCAUGCAUUUUAUCUGCCUGGGUGUUUCUGUAUUCAGCUAUAUCCUGAGCUUUGUCACAGUGAGGCAUGUGGAAACAGACACAACUGUAGGGUCCUGUCAUCAAGAUUCCCAGCUGGAACUGAUCUAUGCUCAGUUGAAGGCACAGCAUUUCCUGCCACCAGGAGAGACUUCCAGAAUACUUUUGCUAAUGUUCUGGGAAUCCUGAGAAUUUUUCCACUUUGGCACUUUGUCUGUCUGUGAGUGCCAGGUACUCUGAUAUCUUUGGGACAGUUAAUCUAGAAGAUUCUUCAGCUUCAGGGUUCUAGUAGUGUUCUUUCUCCACCCUACCACACACUCCUCUUUCAGGAAGUGUGGUUCUCUCUGGUUCUUAGAUCAGACAGACUUUUCCAACCUUAGAUUUCCCAGACUCUCUCUGGUCCCCAUUCCCACCUCUCCAGGGUAGAUGCAUGGCAAAACAGAGGUCACUGUAUCGGCUCCCCAUCCAUCAGGGGCCACUGACUUUCACUAUAAAUUGUCCUUUUAUGGAAGUUUCAGGUGUCCCAUUUGAUCUAAAGUCUAGCAUUGAAUACCAGGAAAUCAAAAAGAACUCUGGAGAUUUCAACUUGACCCUAUGUUAGAAGCAGAGACUGUUUUUGCCUUGCCCCCUCCCACCUUCCCCUGCCAUCCCAAGAAUGACAAGUCACAUUUUUGUAUCAGAUAGCAAGCAGGGAGUUCUGUUGGGAGGCAGGAAACUGAGCUGCAAUCCUCUUGCCAGACUCGGUAGUGACAUGUGAUGUCAGCAGUGUCAUGGCCUUGGUGGGUUUGAAGAACAGCAGUAAUGCUAACCUUGUUCAUGGUGGCUGAUGUGAGUGACUAUGGCAGUGGAAGGAAGUGGAAGAAACCAACUGGUUCUAGCAGGUCAGGACCCCUAGAACUGCCUUCCACUCUACCCAGGCUGUCUCAGAUGCCCAGAUUCCAGUAGCAUCCCUAGAGCUGGGUCAGCAGAAAGCUAACCUCCUAUCACUAUCGGAGACUUGGGUGGAAACGAGCUGUAAUCCUUGGAAGGGUACAAAUGGAUUCUGGGUGGUGCCUCGGAAGGGAUAUCAUCCAGGCCCUGGACCAGACACAUUCUGCCUCUUCAUACCACACAAGAAGGAGUACCAGCCUAGUUAAUUCACAAAACGUCUUUGCAGGGAGUAAGUUUCCAUGGCAACAUCAGUGAGGCUGACAGGGAUUGAGGGAACUUGCAGCAUCUCCCUGUGUCAGCCCCUCAGGUGCUGUGUGGCCAAUGCCCUUGCCAGACCCAUCUCUGUCAGGCUUUGCUGAAAGGACUGGGCUUUAUACAGCCAGUUAUGUAAGUGGUUGCCUUAGAAGAACCGCUACCCUGAGUCACGUGGAGCUGCCAAACUAGUUCAAGGUAAUUUAUGACUUUGGGAUGCUUCAGUCUCUAAAUACAACAGACAGCUACAAACUGCAAACACUUUAAAUUUCUGGCCCAGGGGAUAUGUCACGAUCCAGCCUGGACUGCACUGGGGCCUGGCUAACAGGGAAGGUUUGUGGAGCAAAUCUGGCUUACCUAACCCCAGGCCCAUAGAAGGCUACCCUUGAGCCUGAAUGAAGACUCCACUGUCCCUCCAGGAGCUUCCUGAGGCACAUGCUGACAUUUAAUUUCACCCAACACAUACACGUUUUGCUGUUCCCCUUUCUCUCUCAGUUGUGCUACAGCUUACAACCUACGAAACUCCACCCUGCCUCAGGGCCUUUGUAUAUACAGCAUCCUCAGCCUAGAACACUGUUCACACCAGGGAAGAGCUCAGUGCAGGACUGAGGGAGAUAACGGCCUGGGGAGCAUGAGUCCUAAGCUCUGCCCCAUCAUUGGGGACUGGCAUGAACAGACCUUCCUUUGCUCUAGACUUCAGGGUGUCAAGAUUCUGUCCCCUGGUCCCCCAUUUACUAGUAAUCAGGGAGGUUGGGUAAGGAGAAAAAAGAGACUAUCAUGUGUAGAAAGGAGACAGGAGACAGAGGAAGAAGCCCUACAAACAGGCAGAAUCUUUGGAGAAAUAAGCCAAGAUGGCUUCCAUGAUGAGCAGAGACAUAGGAGUUAGGGAGACAGGAAACAACUGA